rnacentral:rRNA from 1 species
GAAUCCGCUAAGGAGUGUGUAACAACUCACCUGCCGAAUGAAGUAGCCCUGAAAAUGGAUGACGCUUAAGCGGGUAGCCGAUACUAUGCCGUCUAAAAAAUGUUUAAUUUUUAGAUGAGUAGGGGGGCGUGGUGAUCGUAUCGAAGCGCUGCGUGCGAACGCGCGUGGAACGGUCACUAGUGCAGAUCUUGGUGGUAGUAGCAAAUAUUCAAGUGAGAACCUUGAAGGGCGAAGCGGGGAAGGGUUCCAUGCGAACAUUGAUUGGGCAUGGGUGAGUCGUACCUAAGCCGAGUGGCAAUUGCUUACUCACGCGGCGAAAGGGAAGCGGGUUGAAAUUCCCGCACACGGAUGUGGAAGCGGCGACGCAUUACUGGGGCGGUGACGUUGGCAGUGGCGCUGGGCAGAGUUGUCUUUUCUGUUUAACCGCCUGACGCUUGCACUGUGGAAUCCGCUUGUCGGGAGAAACAGGCAAGGCACGGGUAGAGCGCCGGGCUUUUUCCGGCGUCCAGCUCGCCACUGACGGCCCUUGAAAAACUGUCCUCAGAUAUUAUAAAAACUCCACGCCGUGGCGUACCGAUAUCCGCAUCAGGUCCCCAAGGUGAACAGCCUCUGCUCGAUAUGAAAAAUGCAGGUAAGGGAAGUCGGCA